rnacentral:lncRNA from 1 species
AGACAGGAAAAACACCCAAAAGGUAAAGGCCAGGCUGGUUCAUGCCGGACACCUAACCCCCUGCUACCACAUGCUGUUUUCCACACUGGGUGCUGGCCUGUGGGAACCUGCACAAGUCGGGGGCAACAUGGUCCCAGGAAGUCUUUGACAGGCUGCCCCCUGCUGGCUGCUGCGGGAACCACAUGGCAGAUGGCUCCUGGUGUCCCCUGGAAGGGGUAUCAGAUUUCCUUCGUUCUUGGAAUCUCUGCGGUUUGGGAAGACAAACAGAACUGUUCUGCCCCGGGGGAGGGAGCUGCAAAUGCAAAAGAGGCUCCAUCACGCGGUGCAGAGCUGGGGGCACCGCUGGCCCACCCAUCCCUGUCGAGUCCUCUGACCCGUUUCUUCAUUUCUCAGUCAGGUCUUGCUCUGUCACCCAGGCUGGAGUGUGUGGUGCGAUCAUGCCUCACAGCAGCCUUGACAUCCCCAGGCUCAGAUGAUCCUCCCACCUCAGCCUCCUGAGUAGCCGCGACUACAGGCGCAUGCCACCACACCCAGGGUCCCAUCCAGAUACCACAUGACACCCGGUUGUCCUGUCUUCGGAGGCUCCUCCUGGCUGGGACAGCUUCUCAGACUUUCCUUGCUGCGAUGGCUGCUCAAGCUUUGAGGAGUACAGACAGAAUACAUUUCAGCUCCAAAACCAGCAUUGUCUUUAAUGGGGACUCCUAGAGGCAUUCCCACCAAGUUAGGAACAAGACAGCACGCCCACUGUUACCAGCGUAAAUCAACAAUGUACCGGAGGUGCUAACCCACACAAUAAGGCAACAUCUCCAGCAUGAAGCCCACUGGCCUCAUGUCUGUACUUCUGGAGUCCAGGUGAGCAAAGGUCACCUGCCCACUGGACUUGGCCCACAUGGACUACACCUGAGCCACCAAUCCUCUUGGAGGCCUUCUUGCCUCUAUUUGCUGCAUUCCUUCUUCUCCCCUUUGGACUGCGAGCUCCUCAAGGGAACAGCCUAUAGCUUCCUAUUCAUCUCCCACUCACCCGACCUGCCACACUGGCCAGCCCACUGGAUGGGAGGUAACAGUGUGCUGGACAUUCUGAGGGCUGCAGGGGCCUCCUGUGGACCCUGCUCUCUUGCAGGUGACCCAUCAGUGCGCUGUACUUCUACAAAUUGUUGGAAUGGAGACUUUUUUUUUUUUCUAAGUUAUUUGAGUCAAAACGAUCUUGACGGGAAGCUGUUAGAGGUCUCAUGGAAAUAGGCCUGGAGGACAGGAUUUGGCUGAGGCUUUCAACUGACAUCAGACAAGACUGCAAUCAAGGGAAAGCAGACCUGGGGCCCACGGGCAAUCACAUGGGAUGAGAAAUACCAAAGAAUGUGACCAUCCAGGUAGCCGGGGGACACAGCUCCAAAAAAGUGAGAGUGGUGCUGGAUUAGCUCCAUUGGAGGAACUGGAGGUUCCAUUGGAUGGUGCUGGAUUAGUUCCAUUGCCGUUUGGCAAACCAGGUAAAUAAUGCAUAUUCUAUAUGUGAAUUUGCGUUUCCUGCUUCUCCCAGCAUGAUCACCCGUGGACUAAUGGAAUGCCUUAUUCACCAGCAUGUAUUCAAUAUUGCUUUUAAUCAAGAAACAAAUUUCACAGCAAAGAAAGUGAGGCAAUGGGCUUGUGACCAGGUAAUCACAGUCAUACCACGUAUCUCAGCAGGAGGAAGCAGCUGGACAAACAUUAGAGUGAAACGGCCUCGUGAAGACUCCGUUACAGCACCACUUGGGAGACAACUUUUGGGUGCUGCCCCCAAGGUUCUGCUUUGCAUGUGUUGUCUCUCCUAUAACCAGGAUUCACGGGUCCAGGAAUCAAGGGAUAGAAGUAGGAGUGGUUCCUCUCACCUGUCCCCUCAACUGGAGUUCUACUGGUUUGGAGGGCUUGGUUUUUACAGGAGGAAUGCUUCCGGGGAACACAAGACAACAGCUCACUGAAUUGUACAUUGAGGCUCACCUGCUGUUUUGGGCCCUUCUGGGCACUGAACCAACAAGCAAAUAAGGGGUUUACUGACUCGGGUGUAUUACCAAGGGGAAACAAAUGCUGCUGCAUACUAGGGGCAGGGAGAACUGUCUAGAAUCCAUACUUUUCUGAGGUCCCUCUUACAAAUAGCAAAAACGAAAGACUGUAACAAAGGAAGGACAACUAAUUCAGACACCCUAGGAAUAAAGGUUUGGAUCAACCAUACCAAAAAAAGAAUCCUGACCAGCGGAGAUCCUGGGUGAGGGCAAAGGAAAUACAGAAUAGGCAGUGGAAAAGAAAGUGAUACAUAACUACAGCCUCAUGAUCAUUACAGAUGAUACAUAAUCUUUUUUUUUUUUUUUUUGAGACGAAGUCUCACUCUGUCGCCCAGGCUGGAGUACAGUGGCGCUAUCUCAGCUCACUGCAACCUCCUCCUCCUGGGUUCAGACGAUUCUCCUGCCUCAGCCUCCUGAGCAGCUGGGACUACUGGCGCGCGCCACCACGCCCACCUAAUUUUUGUAUUUUUAGUACAGAUGGGGGUUUCACCAUAUUGGCCAGGCUGGUCUCGAACUCCUAACCUCAUGAUCCACCCACCUCGGCCUCCCAAAGUGCUGGGAUUACAGGCGAGAGCCACCGUGCCCGGCUGAUGUACAUAUUCUUGCUUGUUAUGUGCACAAUUUUCUUCUCUCAUUAUUUCAUGCAAUUUUUGCUGGAAGUAAACUUUACCCUUUAGUGUUUAGGUACCAUUCUCUUGUUCUGUAUUCUAUUCAGAUGGGAUUGAAACUGAAUUAGAAGAGUCAACACAGCUCAGAGAUUGACAGUGACUGGUGAGCUUUACAUGUCCUCAUUUUUGAGAGAGGGUAACAGCUUCCAAUUAAUUACAUCUCCUUGGGCACAAAGAAUUGCUUUUGUGGUGGGACAGAAGUUCAAAGGUGUAGAAGGCUGUGUGCAGAUGCUGAGUGGCUAACAGGGGCUGUGCCAGUUAGGAAGCUCGUCUCUCAGUUCCACACCCGCUCUUUUUAGCUCUGCUUUUGUGAUACCAGCGACAGAACUCUGCAAACAUCUCUGCUUCGCAGCUGGCAUCCUGUUGGAUUUUUCCAGUAGAGGGAAGCUUCCAUGCUGCAGGAAGAAGGGGCGUGCUCCUUCCCGUUCCUGUCAGCACUGCUGCAGCAGUUUGCUCUCACAGCUGCAUGUGAUCCCAGCUGCCAUUUCUGACCUGCUCAGAACCAGCUUCAUGAUGGGCUCAAAGACCCAGGACCAGGUGAGCAACACCCAUCCUUAGAGCACUUCUGGAAGUUGCUACUUCCUUAAUUCUUGUGUGGGUUUUUUGCUUUUUUGGUUACUGUGUCAGUAAUUCUUUUUAUCAUAUUGUUGAAAUAACUGGAAUGGUUUCUGUCUCCUAUUUGGACCAUGACUGAUAGACAGAGAGAGGAGAUUUCUAUCUACAGAAACUAAGUCUCAAGACUGUAUUGUUUUAAAUCCUUUGUCAACAAUAACUGAGGCUCAGCAAAGCCUCUUUCUCCCUCAGUGUUUCAUGUGGGCACCAACCGUCGGCAUGCCCCAUGUGUCCCUCUUUAGGCUAAGAUACUUAAUAUAACUAAAACAUUCCAAGCUUAGGCUGAGUGAUUUCUUACAGUAAAAUCAAAUUCUUUAAACUUUCUUCUAUUCCAAUAUUCCUUAUCCCAAGUUAAG